rnacentral:rRNA from 1 species
GCUUACAGCCAUACCACCCUGAGCGCGCCCGAUCUCGUCUGAUCUCGGAAGCUAAGCAGGGUCGGGCCUGGUUAGUACUUGGAUGGGAGACCGCCUGGGAAUACCAGGUGCUGUAAGCU